GAGGUUUAGAUAGAUUUUCUCUUGUGGGUGGAGACCCCCUCCUCUCUCCUAAGCAAAGUCCAGCUCCAAGAUGGCAUUCUGGAGUCACAUGAGCCAGUCACAUGUCCAUGCAUGACAGUUUUUACAGGUAGCAGCCAAGCCACACUCCUGGGAGGC